rnacentral:rRNA from 1 species
GACGAACGCUGGCGGCGUGCUUAACACAUGCAAGUCGAACGGUAAGGCCCCUUCGGGGGUACACGAGUGGCGAACGGGUGAGUAACACGUGCGCAACUUGCCCUUGACUCUGGAAUAACAGUUGGAAACAGCUGCUAAUACUUGAUAUUCAUCGUCUCCUUCCUGGGGGGUGGUGGAAAGCUCCGGCGGUAGGGGAUGGGCUCGCGGCCUAUCAGCUUGUUGGUGAGGUAAUGGCUCACCAAGGCUUCGACGGGUAGCCGGCCUGAGAGGGUGACCGGCCACACUGGGACUGAGAUACGGCCCAGACUCCUACGGGAGGCAGCAGUGGGGAAUAUUGCACAAUGGGCGGAAGCCUGAUGCAGCAACGCCGCGUGCGGGAUGACGGCCUUCGGGUUGUAAACCGCUUUCAGUAGGGACGAAGGGUGACUGACGGUACCUACAGAAGAAGGACCGGCUAACUACGUG